UUUACUUCACUCUAGAAGUAUCUUCAUCUCUCCACUCUCUCACUCUCCGCCAUAAAAUCUCAUUACAAUGUGAGUAUCACCGAUCUCCUUACUCCUCCAUGGCCAAAUCCUCAAGGGGCUACCCUCCAUUGUUACCAUCGAAACCAAUCGAAUUCAAACACAAACCACUACUACUCAAAAUCAAACACCCAACCCCAAUUAAUUUUGACUCCGACUGAAUCAAACCCUUCAAACGAAUCUCGAAUCACCCAUUUUUAUGAAAAUUCUCUGAUUUUUUUAACCAAGGUAUGAAUUGAUGCUUCCUUUUUGGGGUUCUAUGGAGCAAAAUUCUUUUCACUUUCUUAGUUAGAUAUUAUGAUUCUAUCUUGUAUUUCUUUCAAUUCUAUCUCUAUUAAUGUUUAUUUUGGUCUUUAUUAAGGGGAUUGGGGAUUGAAACUACAUUAAAGAGUUAGUUUGAUCAAGGUGGAAGAGUGUGUAAAUUGACUGGAAACUACAUCGGAGGAAUUGCAACUGGGUAAGUAUUAAUGUUUCUUCAAUUUUGAUGCUUUGUUUCAGAUCUUUUUGAAGUGUAACUUGGUUGCUUCUUUGAUGAAAAUGUUUGUCCUUUCAUAAAGACAAUAGAUACUUAUUUAUUCAAAUCUUUAUUUAGAUGUUAGAAAAUUGAAUUAAACAAGAAGCAAUUUGUAGCCAGGUUGAACCAACAACUUGAAUAGGGAUUCUUCUUCAUGUUCUUUUUUCACUUGAAACUUUUAUAGUACUUCUUAAUGUUAGUGUAUGCGCUUUUAGGUCAAGAGGAAUUCUGCAUUCUAAGCUAUUUCAAAGUCGAAACGUUGUUACGGAAACUUUGAAUCUUGCAAGCUAAAGAAUUUUGCAUCUACAUUGGCUUGAAAACAUAAUACGAUUAGGAAUAAAAUAAGAGCUUUGUUUAGUGGGAUAUUUUGAUUAUAUUUGAAAGUUAAUUUUGUUGAAACCUUUCAAAUUGGAAAUGAUUAACAUGUCUCAGAAGUCGAGUCAUCCAAUUAUAAAAUAUCAGUUUAUCUCAUAAACAUUGAUAUGUUGUACUAGAGGCCUUGAACUUCUCUUUUGCAACUUGUCAAUCAAUGCAAACUUCUCCUAGAUGAAACAUAUGUAUCUUUAAAUUUAUAGCUCUCUAAUUUCUAUUUUUGCACUCCUCAGUUUUAGACUUCUUUAGUUGACAAUUGUUGUUUUCUUGGUUUUUGAAGGUAUAUCUAAAUGUCUCGCUGCUAUAUGGUUUCUGAGAUAACAAAAGGUUGACUAUUAAGUUAGGUAUUGUAUCUCCAACACAUUUGAAAUGAUAGAUCAAAAAAGACUUUGAAUUUUGAAGUUCCGAAAUGGAUUUAUAUGUCAUUAUUUAUUGUAGAGAAACUAGAAACUAUUGUUUUACGAAGGGGAAGAGCUUGUAAAUAAGUUGGCAAAGUUGGAAAGGGAUGUCAAAGAAUGAGAAGGCGCAAGAAUUGACUCUGCGACAUUUUUAAAAACUGUAAGCUCUUGAACUCUUUUUGAUAAUUUUUAUCCUAAAUAGCAGUAGAUUUCUUAAUAUUUGUUUAGGGUACUUCAUUUUUGCAACUGGUUGUUGAAAUAAAUCUCUUAUAUCUCAACCGCUUGCUGAUUAUUUGAUUUUUAUGGCUCUCAUUGUUAAUAUUGUCUUUGUGAAUUAUGUUGUUCCUCUCUUUUAUAAUUGAAGAUAUUGAGAGUGGUAAUCAAACUUGUUAUAAAUUGUAUCUCACAAUCUUUUCUUUGAUCUCAUAUGAACAGUUCUCCUUUGCACUUUAUCGGGUGUGGUUCUCCUUGUAGAAAAUUGAUAUGUUUAUAACAUGUGACCGAUAAAAACAACUUUAGUACACUGGAUAGACAACAUGCAAAACUAUAAGUUACCUAUUAGAGAUACUGCUUCUCCUCCCUUCAAAUCUAUUGUCCGAAACUUUAAUUUUAUCCAAUUUCUAUUGUAUAACUAAAAAGAAUAUUUCAGGAAGUUCCUUCAAGUAUAAGAACACUCAGUUAUUACAAGUGUUAUUCGACAACUUUGAGUUAACAAUGCAUAAUACAUGUGCACAAAGGAUAUGGGAGUUUUCCUUGCUUAAUGUUUGAGUACAUUUUCUUUUUGAUACACGAGAAUGAAAUUCAAGCAUAAAUCUGAUUAUAAUCUAACAAACACUAUAUUAUUUUUGUUUUUCCAAAUCUAAAGGCAAUUCCUGCUAUGGGACUAUAAGAGUUGUAAACAUCUAUUUCACAAUUUUUCUUUGUUUCAUUUAGAAGAAAACUUUGAAUCUUUAGCACAUGAAAUUAGUAUUUAUGCGAUACUUGUAAUGUAACAAAAUAUGCUUCAAACUAUUCGGUGUAUGUCUAUACAAAAGGCUAUCAAUCACUUAAUGCUAUUAACUUUUUGUCCAUUAUCAUUGUGAGUUUCACCCACACAAGUGAAAUGCUUCAAUUUAAUGGUUAGUCUGAGGUAAAAUAUGUUUCUGACGUCUUGGUUGAAUUUAUAAUGCUUUUAAAAUAUUUUUUUCCACAGUACAAUUGUCUUUAAUGUAAAAUGUAGACAUGGUUAGCAUUUUGAGAUGAAACCUUUUUAUUUUGAUGUUGAUGCUAUAUACUUAUAUUCAUAGAAGACUUAUCAAUGAGAGACUUGAUUAUAUCUCAAAACUUCACACCUUUCUUGGCCAUGACUUCAAAAUUAUUGGAUAGAAGUGUUUUUUGGGCAUGCAGUGAUAAAAGAGAAGAAUAAACAUAAAGCUUGAUUUAGUGUCUUUACACAAAAAAGUAACACAUCUUUUAAUUCUAUAGUUAUAUUUCUAAAUCUUUUAAAAUGACUUGAUUUAACAUUUUAGUUUGUUUUCACAUAAUAAAAGAAAAUUUUGGAUAUCAAAAUUUGAUCUGACUUCAUGCUUGCCAUAAGAAAAUGUAGGCAAUAAUAAGUUAUAAGUAUUGAACAUUGUCUUGGGAUAGAAUGUUUGGUUACUCUACUAUACAACUACAUCAAUGAGUUUGUCUUUGAACACAAAUUUGAUGACCUUAUUUAACAAGAAAGUGAUGAGAUUAAGAGACUAUUUGAUUUAGCUAAGUGUUUGUUGAUAAUAAUAGCAGUUUGUAGUUAUAUUUAUAAAAAAAAACCGUAAAGCACAACUUUACCCUUGGUCAUUCCACUCUUCAUGUUUCUAUAUAGUAGAAAAGUCCUCUGUUAAACUUUACUAGCCUGUGCAAAUUCUAUACUUAUAAACUAAAUUUCUGAAAUAGUUUAUAUCCAUAUUUUUGAAAAAUAGUAACCUGACAUGAUACCUUAGUCACAGGGAUUAUCAGAGAGUUUCAUUUUAUUGUUGAGUUAGACAUAUCAUGUAAAUUACACUUCGACAAAGAUACUAUAAUCUUAUGUAGCCAUAUUCUUUUUAUUUGAUAAGUUGAAAGUCAUGUAAGUGAAUCUUUUCGUUGGAUCUAGAUAUGCGAGCUAUAUUUAUACUAUAUAGAACGAUGAGAUUAGUUACAUGUUUGUUAAAAGUUAAUAAUUUCAUAAUGAGGGCAUUUAGACUUAUACUACGUGUCUUUUUAGAUGCGCAGAGUAAGAAUGUAGAUAUGAGCUCUUUUGGAGUAUGAUGCGUCUGCUCGGCAUUUUAUAGAAACAAAAGGACUUUCACCAACUCUUGAUUUUUAAUGGAUAAUCUAGAAAAUUGUUGGAAGGUAAGAACUGUAGCUUUAGUAAAUAAAUCUUUUUUGUCCAUGUCUUAUUAUGUUUCUAAUAUUUGAAUCUUGUUUUGUGUUGGUGUCUUCACUGUUUCUUAUUUCUCUUCGAGUGUAUUUUUAUGAACUGAUUUUAUUUUCAAGUUUUUAUUCCUUCCAUGAAAUAUUAAAGUUGGAGUAAGUAGUUCGCGUUGAAUGAAAGAAAUUUUUCAGCUUAUCAAGACAACUGCAGCCACUUAAGGAUAUCAACUUCUAUUCUUUUGGAAUAUACAGAGAGCAUCUGCUCAAAUUUACUGGUAAUGAUUCGAGGCAUUAAUAGAUUUUAGAAAAUGAAUUUUGUCAUAUUUGAUGCGCUAUCAACUUCUAUUCUAAUGAGAAAUACAGGGAGCAUUUGCUCGAAGUUAUCAUUCGGAAAAUUUGAUGUUGUUUCUAAUAUACUCAGUCUGAUCCCACAAGUUGGGAAUGUGGAGGGUGGGGCGUACGCAGAUCUUACCUCUAUUUUUGAUGUUGUUUCCGGUAGAUCCUCAGCUAAAAAAAAGCAUUUUUAAGAACAGGUUUGAUAAAUACAAGAGUAAAAAGGCUAUGCUGAAAAUCAUUGUAUUCGUUCUUCAUGUGUACUAUGUUCUCUUCUUUGAACUACAAUAUCAAAGUAGUUGUUCUCUGUGAAUGUCUGGAUUAUUGAUUAAUCUUAAUAAACCGUUAAAUGACUAGAAGCCAAAAAAUUUCAGUUGAUUAAAAUGAAACUGAAAAAAUUGUUUAAGUAGGACAAACAAAAAUAUGGAUGAAGUACAUAUUGUUUCUAAAUAUUUUGGUUAGCCUAAUUUAGAGAGUAGCAUUGAGAAUCACUCUCUUCUGGCAGCUGAAAGCUGGUUACAACUGUAUGAUUUUUUCUUUUGCAAUUUGUGACAAUUUACUUUGGUAAAUGACAGACCAUUGUUAAAUGAAAGUGUUGAUAUGUUACUAUUUGAAACUGAAUAUGAUGAGGCAUAUAAUCUUUUGAAUUUUAGUCUUUAGUUUACUCAGACAUCUGUAAUUGGUUUCUUUAUCUUCAUGAUAUAUUUGCAUCAAAUUGGUAACUCAGUAAUUUAAUUUCAAGGGCUUGCUGAAUACUUGCAGAAAUGUUCACGUGUUAUGUCUAGAUUAAGUUCAAAAAUACCGUGGAGUCAAACUGUACAAAUGUGCAUGAUGGGAGGUCCGAAAAGGGCAGUAGCUUGGAAAGAAGUGAGAUAUCACUUAUCCCUCCCUAUAGCUUAUACAUAUCCUAUAUUAUCUUUUGUUUUUAUUUUUAUUGCAGCUUUGAAACUUUCUUCGAAUGGUAUUGCUAAUGAAAUGCGGCUUUCAUUUCAUGGAAUAGUAACACAAUAAGAUUUUCCCAUUCAAUGUCAUUUGGCAAUGAUGAUGAAUCAUGGAGGUAACUUCACGGUUGAACAGUUUGUCAGGCUUCAUUGUGAAGACAUAUUGCAAGUUCAUUACUUUAUCCUCUCCUCGGGAUCCAGUUUCAAAAUGUACAGAGGUUGUUGAUGUACUUAAGCCGAAACUAUGAUGAAUUUAUUUAUCAUGCAAACUUAAAAAAGCAAGAAGCCUAAGUUCAUUUGUGAAAAUAUUCAUUGUGUAUCAUUUGAGUUGAAUAACUUGUAUUAUAUGAAGACAAAUAACUAUCGGAAGAACCAAUGAAGUUACUACUAUGAUACAAUGUUAUGUUAAGAAAUUUCAGCAGAAGCUUGUGAUAUUUUUUACUUCUGACUGUAAGUUCUUAUUUCCUAUUUCUUGUUGCUUCAGUAAGUAGUAAACUAUAUAUAUAC
rnacentral:lncRNA from 1 species